GGCCAGACUCCUACGGGAGGCAGCAGUGGGGAAUAUUGCACAAUGGGGGGAACCCUGAUGCAGCGACGCCGCGUGGGUGAAGGAGCGUUUCGGCGCGUAAAGCCCUAUCGGCAGGGAAGAAGGAGGACGGUACCUGACUAAGAAGCCCCGGCUAACUACGUGCCAGCAGCCGCGGUAAUACGUAGGGGGCAAGCGUUAUCCGGAUUUACUGGGUGUAAAGGGGGCGCAGACGGCAGCGCAAGCCAGGAGUGAAAGCCCGUGGCCCAACCCCGGGACUGCUCUUGGAACUGCGCGGCUGGAGUGCAGGAGGGGCAGGCGGAAUUCCUGGUGUAGCGGUGAAAUGCGUAGAUAUCAGGAGGAACACCGGUGGCGAAGGCGGCCUGCUGGACUGCGACUGACGUUGAGGCCCGAAAGCGUGGGGAGCAAACAGGAUUAGAUACCCCGGUA
rnacentral:rRNA from 1 species